GACGAACGCUGGCGGCGUGCUUAACACAUGCAAGUCGAACGGGAAGUCCCUGCUUUGUGGGGGUGCUCUAGGUGCCAACGGGUGAGUAACACUUGAGUAACCUGCCCUUGACUUUGGGAUAACUUCAUGAAACUGGGUCUAAUACCGGAUAGGAGUUCCUGCUGCAUGGUGGGGGUUGGUAAGUUUCGGCGGUUGGUGGUGGACUCGCGGCUUAUCAGCUUGUUGGUGGGGUAGUGGAUUACCAAGGAUUUGACGGGUAGCAGGUCUGAGAGGGUGACCGUCCACAUUGGGAGUGAGGUAAGGCGGAGCAUACUACGGGAGGAAGCAGUGGGGAAUAUUGCACAAUGGGCGGCGGAAUGCUGAACCAACGACGCGGCGGGGGUGAUGGAGUUCGGAUUGUAGACCGCUUCCGCCUGCGGCGAAGAGUGAGUGACGGUCAUGGGUAAAGAAGCAGCGGGUCUCUACG
rnacentral:rRNA from 1 species